rnacentral:rRNA from 1 species
UACGAACUGUGCGAACGUUAUUCGGAAUCACUGGGCUUACAGGGUGCGUAGGCGGCGGGGCAAGUCUGAUGUGAAAUCCCGGGGCUCAACCCCGGAACUGCAUUGGAUACUGCCUUGCUUGAGUACUGGAGAGGGAACUGGAAUUUACGGUGUAGCAGUGAAAUGCGUAGAGAUCGUAAGGAAGGCCAGUGGCGAAGGCGAGUUCCUGGACAGUUACUGACGCUGAGGCACGAAGGCCAGGGGAGCAAACGGG